rnacentral:lncRNA from 1 species
GGGUUGUGACACAUGGCGUAUUCCCCUUGGAUUCUAUCAGGGAUGACGUCAGCGUCCUAGGGCUAAAGCCCAGGCGAGACCUACACUUGGGCUUGCCCGAGCUGGAUUGGUAGCGCUGGAAAGGGUGGAUUUGGCUCUCGGGGGGCCUUUUGCCCUGGCAGGACCCCUGCGCUGGAGAUGCUCUUACUUAGAUAUAAGGCCUCCUCUGCUAUAGUUCGUG